rnacentral:rRNA from 1 species
CCUACGGGAGGCAGCAGUAAGGAAUAUUGGACAAUGGCCGCAAGGCUGAUCCAGCCAUCCAGCGUGCAGGAAGAAGGCCCUAUGGGUUGUAAACUGCUUUUAUCAGGGAAGAAACCUCUGGAUUUACUCCGGAGCUGACGGUACCUGAAGAAUAAGCACCGGCUAACUCCGUGCCAGCAGCCGCGGUAAUACGGAGGGUGCGAGCGUUAUCCGGAAUUACUGGGUUUAAAGGGUGCGUAGGCGGCUAUGUAAGUCAGGAGUGAAAGUUUGCGGCUCAACCGUAAAAUUGCUUUUGAUACUGCAUAGCUGGAAUUAGGAUGAGGUCAGCGGAAUGUGGCAUGUAGCGGUGAAAUGCAUAGAUAUGCCAUAGAACACCAAUUGCGAAGGCAGCUGACUAGACCUGGAUUGACGCUGAGGCACGAAAGCGUGGGGAGCGAACAGGAUUAGAUACCCUGGUAGUCCACGCCCUAAACGAUGCUUACUCGACGUAUGGCACUAGAUGUUGUGCGUCCAAGGGAAACCGUUAAGUAAGCCACCUGGGGAGUACGACCGCAAGGUUGAAACUCAAAGGAAUUGACGG